CUGUCUUUUGUCCCCCCAUCAGGUGUAUAUAUAUUCCAGCGGCAGCAGAUUGGCACAAAGGCUUUUGUUUGGUAAUACAAAUUAUGGGGACCUGCGCAAAUACUUGUGCGGGUUUUUUGAUACUACAGUGGGGAAUAAGAAAGAAUCAAAAAGUUACGUUGAAAUCAGAGAAUCUCUUGGAAUAGAUAAUCCUUCAGAGAUUCUAUUUGUCACUGAUGUCUAUCAAGAAGCUACAGCCGCGAAAUCAGCAGGUCUGGACGUGAUAAUUUCUAUCCGGCCCGGAAAUGGACCUCUUCCCGGGAAUCACGGGUUCAAGACUGUUAAGUCAUUUUCAGAAAUUUAAGUAGGGAUUUAGUUUACUGUAAACUUCUCAUUUUCUUGUGCCAUAAACACAUGAUCCCAGGAGAAACAUUAAAUCAGGUUAUUUGUAGGCAAACUACUGAUAACUUUCUGUUUUUUGCUUGCUUGGGUUUUCGGUGUAUUUCACUUACAUAUAAUGAAUAUUAUGUGCAAUAAUGUAGAUGGUGCUUUCUGAUAUUUAUCCUUCAAUAACAAGAGUUGGUUGCA